rnacentral:rRNA from 1 species
UACGUAGGGACCAAGCGUUGUUCGGAUUUACUGGGCGUAAAGGGCGCGUAGGCGGCGGGGUAAGUCUGGUGUGAAAUCUUGGAGCUUAACUCCGAAACUGCAUUCGAUACUGCCGUGCUUGAGGACUGGAGAGGAGACUGGAAUUUACGGUGUAGCGGUGAAAUGCGUAGAUAUCGUAAGGAAGACCAGUGGCGAAGGCGGGUCUCUGGACAGUUCCUGACGCUGAGGCACGAAGGCCAGGGGAGCAAACGGG